GACGAACGCUGGCGGCGUGCCUAAUACAUGCAAGUCGAACGAACCGCGACUAAGUGCUUGCACUAAGUCAAGGUGAGUGGCGAACGGGUGAGUAACACGUGGGUAACCUACCUCAUAGUGGGGGAUAACAGUCGGAAACGACUGCUAAUACCGCAUAGGACAUAGGAUCACAUGAUCCAGUGAGGAAAGGUGGCGCAAGCUAUCGCUAAGAGAUGGACCCGCGGUGCAUUAGCUAGUUGGUAGGGUAAAGGCCUACCAAGGCGAUGAUGCAUAGCCGACCUGAGAGGGUGAUCGGCCACAUUGGGACUGAGACACGGCCCAAACUCCUACGGGAGGCAGCAGUAGGGAAUCUUCCGCAAUGGACGCAAGUCUGACGGAGCAACGCCGCGUGAGUGAAGAAGGUCUUCGGAUCGUAAAGCUCUGUUGUUAGAGAAGAACAGCGCAUAGAGUAACUGUUAUGCGUGUG
rnacentral:rRNA from 1 species